rnacentral:rRNA from 1 species
AGUGAACGCUGGCGGUAGGCCUAACACAUGCAAGUCGAACGGCAGCACAGUAAGAGCUUGCUCUUACGGGUGGCGAGUGGCGGACGGGUGAGGAAUACAUCGGAAUCUACUUUUUCGUGGGGGAUAACGUAGGGAAACUUACGCUAAUACCGCAUACGACCUACGGGUGAAAGCAGGGGAUCUUCGGACCUUGCGCGAUUGAAUGAGCCGAUGUCGGAUUAGCUAGUUGGCGAGGUAAAGGCCCACCAAGGCGACGAUCCGUAGCUGGUCUGAGAGGAUGAUCGGCCACACUGGAACUGAGACACGGUCCAGACUCCUACGGGAGGCAGCAGUGGGGAAUAUUGGACAAUGGGCGAAAGCCUGAUCCAGCCAUACCGCGUGGGUGAAGAAGGCCUUCGGGUUGUAAAGCCCUGUUGUUGGGAAAGAAAAGCAGCAGGUUAAUACCCCGCUGUUCUGACGGUACCCAAAGAAUAAGCACCGGCUAACUUCGUG